UACGGAAGGCAGCAGUGGGGAAUAUUGCACAAUGGGCGCAAGCCUGAUGCAGCCAUGCCGCGUGUAUGAAGAAGGCCUUCGGGUUGUAAAGUACUUUCAGUCGUGAGGAAGGUGUUAAGGUUAAUAACCUUAGCAAUUGACGUUAGCGACAGAAGAAGCACCGGCUAACUCCGUGCCAGCAGCCGCGGUAAUACGGAGGGUGCGAGCGUUAAUCGGAAUUACUGGGCGUAAAGGGCACGCAGGCGGUUAAUUAAGUUGGAUGUGAAAUCCCCGGGCUUAACCUGGGAAUGGCAUUCAAGACUGGUUAGCUAGAGUCUUGUAGAGGGGGUAGAAUUCCAUGUGCAGCGGUGAAAUGCGUAGAGAUGUGGAGGAAUACCGGUGGCGAAGGCGGCCCCUGGGACAAGACUGACGCUCAUGUGCGAAAGCGUGGGGAGCAAACAGGAUUAGAUACC
rnacentral:rRNA from 1 species